CAGCAGUGAGGAAGGUGGAUAUGUUAAUAGCAUAUUCAUUUGACGUUAGCUGCAGAAGAAGCACCGGCUAACUCCGUGCCAGCAGCCGCGGUAAUACGGAGGGUGCGAGCGUUAAUCGGAAUUACUGGGCGUAAAGCGCAUGCAGGUGGUUUGUUAAGUCAGAUGUGAAAGCCCGGGGCUCAACCUCGGAAUUGCAUUUGAAAACUGGCAAACUAGAGUACUGUAGAGGGGGUAGAAUUUCAGGUGUAGCGGUGAAAUGCGUAGAGAUCUGAAGGAAUACCGGUGGCGAAGGCGGCCCCCUGGACAGAUACUGACACUCAGAUGCGAAAGCGUGGGGAGCAAACAGGAUUAGAUACCCUGGUAG
rnacentral:rRNA from 1 species